UGGGGAAUAUUGCACAAUGGGCGGAAGCCUGAUGCAGCAACGCCGCGUGCGGGAUGACGGCCUUCGGGUUGUAAACCGCUUUCGCCUGUGACGAAGCGUGAGUGACGGUAAUGGGUAAAGAAGCACCGGCUAACUACGUGCCAGCAGCCGCGGUGAUACGUAGGGUGCGAGCGGUGGCCGGAUUUAUUGGGCGUAAAGGGCUCGUAGGUGGUUGAUCGCGUCGGAAGUGUAAUCUUGGGGCUUAACCCUGAGCGUGCUUUCGAUACGGGUUGACUUGAGGAAGGUAGGGGAGAAUGGAAUUCCUGGUGGAGCGGUGGAAUGCGCAGAUAUCAGGAGGAACACCAGUGGCGGAGGCGGUUCUCUGUGCCUUUCCUGACGCUGAGGAGCGAAAGCGUGGGGAGCGAACA
rnacentral:rRNA from 1 species